GAUUAUGGCUCAGGAUGAACGCUAGCGACAGGCUUAACACAUGCAAGUCGAGGGGCAUCACGGGAGUAGCAAUACAACUGGUGGCGACCGGCGCACGGGUGAGUAACGCGUAUGCAACCUACCUAUCAGAGGGGAAUAACCCGGCGAAAGUCGGACUAAUACCGCAUAAAACAGGGGCACCGCAUGGUGAUAUUUGUUAAAGAAAUUCGCUGAUAGAUGGGCAUGCGUUCCAUUAGGUAGUUGGUGAGGUAACGGCUCACCAAGCCGACGAUGGAUAGGGGAACUGAGAGGUUGGUCCCCCACACUGGUACUGAGACACGGACCAGACUCCUACGGGAGGCAGCAGUGAGGAAUAUUGGUCAAUGGGCGGGAGCCUGAACCAGCCAAGUCGCGUGAAGGAAAGAAGGAUCUAUGGUUCGUAAACUUCUUUUGCAGGGGAAUAAAGUGCAGGACGUGUCCUGUUUUGUAUGUACCCUGAGAAUAAGGAUCGGCUAACUCCGUGCCAGCAGCUGC
rnacentral:rRNA from 1 species